ACGGAGCUUAGAGAGCUUGCUUUUUAAGCUUAGUGGCGAACGGGUGAGUAACGCGUGAGUAACCUGCCCUAUAGUGGGGGACAACAGUUGGAAACGACUGCUAAUACCGCAUAAGCCCACGGUGCCGCAUGGUACUGAGGGAAAAGGAUUUAUUCGCUUUAGGAUGGACUCGCGUCCAAUUAGCUAGUUGGUGAGGUAACGGCCCACCGAGGCGACGAUUGGUAGCCGGACUGAGAGGUUGAACGGCCACAUUGGGACUGAGACACGGCCCAGACUCCUACGGGAGGCAGCAGUGGGGGAUAUUGCACAAUGGGGGAAACCCUGAUGCAGCGACGCCGCGUGGAGGAAGAAGGUUUUCGGAUUGUAAACUCCUGUCGUUAGGGACGAUAAUGACGGUACCUAACAAGAAAGCACCGGCUAACUACGUGCCAGCAGCCGCGGUAAAACGUAGGGUGCAAGCGUUGUCCGGAAUUACUGGGUGUAAAGGGAGCGCAGGCGGGAAGACAAGUUGGAAGUGAAAACCAUGGGCUCAACCCAUGAAUUGCUUUCAAAACUGUUUUUCUUGAGUAGUGCAGAGGUAGAUGGAAUUCCCGGUGUAGCGGUGGAAUGCGUAGAUAUCGGGAGGACACCAGUGGCGAAGGCGGUCUACUGGGCACCAACUGACGCUGAGGCUCGAAAGCAUGGGUAGCAAACAGG
rnacentral:rRNA from 1 species